rnacentral:rRNA from 1 species
AUUGAACGCUGGCGGCAGGCCUAACACAUGCAAGUCGAGCGCGCGGCGGACGGGUGAGUAAUGUCUGGGAAACUGCCUGAUGGAGGGGGAUAACUAAUGGAAACGGUAGCUAAUACCGCAUACUUUCGGAUGUGCCCAGAGGGGAUUAGCUAGUAGGUGCGGUAACGGCUCACCUAGGCGACGAUCCCUAGCUGGUCUGAGAGGAUGACCAGCCACACUGGAACUGAGACACGGUCCAGACUCCUACGGGAGGCAGCAGUAGGGAAUAUUGCACAAUGGGCGCAAGCCUGAUGCAGCCAUGCCGCGUGUAUGAAGAAGGCCUUCGGGUUGGAAAGUACUUUCGGCGGGGAGGCGUUACCCGCAGAAGAAGCACCGGCUAACUCCGUGUCAGCAGCCGCGGUAAUAC